AUAAGAAUAAUAAGAAUAAUGAUAAAAAGAACUUGGCUUAUUUCUAUUAGUUUUCUAGUAAGGUUCAUUGGGAAAAAUAUCUGUUGAAUCAGAAGAAGGAGGAAUUAUUUAGGAUUUAUUUCAUAGUACUCUAAUAACAAUCAUGCCAGAAUCUUCUCACUGAGAAGGACAGGAGGAAAAGGAGAGAAGUAGGAGAGGGCUGGAUGAAAUCAAAUCUUGUUUCCUCCAGGAGGUCUGACUUCAGUGAAGAUCCAAAGGCAGAGGCCCCACAGGAGUCCUUCUGCUCCCUGGAGACAAACUAGACUGUAACCUCCAUGCAGGUAUGGAUUAUUUGCCUGCUGUGUUUAUUCUUAGCUCCAACUCCAGCACCCAGAAGAAUAUCUGACACACAAUUGAAGAAAUUGAGGAUCAAGGAGUUAAUAAUUUGCCCAAGGCCGCCUAAAUAGUAAGUAGAAGAGUCAGCAUUAAACUUGACUGCAAAGCUCACAUUCUUCCCUCCACACCACACUGCUGCUGGUUAAAAGGUGGGAUCAUAAACCAAGAAGGGCCCUGGGUUCAGGGCAGUUCAUUUUAUAAGUCACAUCCAAAAGUGGCUCAGGUUACAAAAAGAUGUGGUUCUCCAGGCAGGGGUCAUUGUGACAAAACUAGGGGUAAUGGGUCCCUGGAGAAAGGGAGUGUGAAAAGCAGAUGGCUCUUAAGUUUACAAUGCCUUUAGAGGAAAUGAGGAUCUGGGAAGAAAGGUGAAAAGUCCCCACCCAUUGUUAGCAGAGCUUGCCAAGCAUUCUAUUUUUCUGAUCAUGAGGCUGCCUUUUCAAGCAGAUUCUCCCCUUGCAUUUGCAGAGAACUUGGCUGGGCCAGGGCCAUAUCCCAUGGUUGCAGGUCAGAAGCUAAUGGCUCCCUAUGGGUUGUGAUUUUAGUCACUCGCUGCUCCAGCCAAACAAGCUAAAAGACCACAGAAAACAGAUCUUUUGUUAUGUUAUUGUUUUUAGAAAUCUGGGAUGAAGAAAGAAGAGUAAGUUCCCAACCAAAGCAAAGCCUAUCCUUAGGAACAUACAUGCACACACACACGUCAAUUAAAGUAUUUUUGAUGAACGAUUAAUGGGGCUUUCCGACAACCUGGCAAAAUAACAGCUGAA